GUCCCUGGCGCAAAUAGUUAAUGUGCUCGGCUGCUAACCAACAGGUUGGAGGUUCAAGUCCACCCAGAGACA
rnacentral:tRNA from 1 species